rnacentral:tRNA from 1 species
AUCGCCUGUAAAAAUCCUUUCAUAGAACAUGUGAGUUAUGUUGUUCCGCAUCCUUCUCAAA